AUGUCAGUCCCCUUCCCGUGGGGAUUCUGGGAAGGAAGUGGACCACCAAACCGCAAAGCCAUAAGUGAUCAAGUCAUCAAGUACCUGCGGACCUUCAAGGCCCGGCCAAUUGUCGGCAACCCGCCGGAACUCUCCUUCCUCCACAUCCUCGUGCCGCCGCGAUCCCUCCCGCUCCCGCCGCCAUACAUGGGCCUGGACUCGGGCCGCAUCUCCAGCACGGACAAGAACCUGGUCGCCCUUUACGCCGGCGGCUACCUCAUCUACGACGCCAGCAACGACUCCCUCUCCGUCAUCCCCCGCCUCCCCGACGACGACGACGCCUUGCAUGGAGUCAUGGGGCACCAGUCGGCCGUCGUCAUGUGCGACGCCCAAGGGGAGGGCUACCUUCUUGCCGAGCUCGUCAUGCCAGGAUUCUCCCAGGCCGGGGUCUGGCUCUGGAAGUCGUCAUGCCAGGAUUCUCCCAGGCCGGGGUCUGGCUCUGGAAGUCGUCUUGCUGUCCGGGAGCCACCCCCUUCCAUCCAGCAGAUUCUCCGUUGA
rnacentral:rRNA from 1 species